rnacentral:rRNA from 1 species
UUCCGGUUGAUCCCGCCGGACCCGACUGCUAUUUGGGUGAGGAUAAACCAUGCGAGUUGUAUGGGAUACCUAAAUUUCCCAUAGCAAACUGCUUAGUAACACAUGAUCAACUUGCCCUAUGGAGAAAUAUAACCUCGGGAAACUGAGGAUAAUGCUUCAUAGUUGAAUAGGCUUGGAAAAGUUUUUCAAUGAAAGGGAUAAGAUAAAUGGUUCUUAUCUGCCAUAGGAUAGGAUCGUGCUCGAUUAUGGUUGUUGGUGAGGUAACGGCUCACCAAGCCGAUAAUCGAUAGGGGCCGUGAGAGCGGGAGCCCCAAGAUGGGUACUGAGACAGCGACCCAGGCCUUACGAGGCGCAGCAGGUACGAAACCUCCGCAAUACACGAAAGUGUGACGGGGUUACCCAAAGUGUUCUUAUAGAACUGUGGCAGGUGAGUAAUGUCCCCUGCUAGAAAGGAGAGGGCAAGGCUGGUGCCAGCCGCCGCGGUAAAACCAGCUCUUCAAGUGGUCGGGAUAAUUAUUGGGCUUAAAGUGUCCGUAGCCGGUUUAGUAAGUUCCUGGUAAAAUCAGGUAGCUUAACUAUCUGUAUGCUAGGAAUACUGCUAUACUAGAGGGCGGGAGAGGUCUGAGGUACUACAGGGGUAGGGGUGAAAUCUUAUAAUCCUUGUAGGACCACCAGUGGCGAAGGCGUCAGACUGGAACGCGCCUGACGGUGAGGGGCGAAAGCCAGGGGAGCGAACCGGAUUAGAUACCCGGGUAGUCCUGGCCGUAAACGAUGCAUACUAGGUGAUGGUACGGCCAUGAGCCGUGUCAGUGCCGUAGGGAAACCGUUUAAGUGUGCCGCCUGGGAAGUACGGUCGCAAGGCUAAAACUUAAAGGAAUUGGCGGGGGAGCACCACAAGGGGUGAAGCCUGCGGUUCAAUUGGAGUCAACGCCGGGAAUCACUAGUGCGGC